AUUAAUAUGGCAGAUUAGUGCACUGGGCUUAAGUUCCAGAUAUGGCUUCGCCUAUUAUUA
rnacentral:tRNA from 1 species